rnacentral:rRNA from 1 species
GAUGAACGCUGGCGGCGUGCUUAACACAUGCAAGUCGAACGGGGUACCCCCAAAGGAGUUUUCGGACAACUGCGGGGAAUACCUAGUGGCGGACGGGUGAGUAACGCGUGAGUAACCUGCCUUGGAGUGGGGAAUAACAGCUGGAAACAGCUGCUAAUACCGCAUAAUGCAGUUGGGUCGCAUGGCUCUGACUGCCAAAGAUUUAUCGCUCUGAGAUGGACUCGCGUCUGAUUAGCUAGUUGGUGGGGCAACGGCCCACCAAGGCGACGAUCAGUAGCCGGACUGAGAGGUUGGCCGGCCACAUUGGGACUGAGACACGGCCCAGACUCCUACGGGAGGCAGCAGUGGGGAAUAUUGGGCAAUGGGCGCAAGCCUGACCCAGCAACGCCGCGUGAAGGAAGAAGGCUUUCGGGUUGUAAACUUCUUUUCUCAGGGACGAAGCAAG